rnacentral:rRNA from 1 species
GGUCAAGUUAUUAAGGGUGCAGGGCGGAUGCCUUGGCACUAGGAGCCGAUGAAGGACGUGAUAAGCUGCGAUAAGCUUCGGGGAGUUGCACGUAAACUUUGAUCCGAAGAUUUCCGAAUGAGGAAACUCACUUAGAGUAAUGUCUAAGUAUCAUUAAGUGAAUACAUAGCUUAAUGAGGGGAACUCAGGGAACUGAAACAUCUAAGUACCUGAAGGAAGAGAAAGAAAUUCGAUUCCGUAAGUAGCGGCGAGCGAACGCGGAUUAGCCCAAACCAAUAAAGUUUUCUUUAUUGGGGUUGCGGACAUAUCAUAACGAAGAGGUAUCGUAAUUGAAGAGGUUUGGAAAGACCCACCACAGAAGGUAAUAGUCCUGUAUGUUAAACGAGAAGACUUCAGAUAUGAUCCAGAGUACCACGGGACACGUGAAACCCUGUGGGAAGCAGGAGGGACCACCCUCCAAGGCUAAAUACUACCUAGUGACCGAUAGCGUAUAGUACCGUGAGGGAAAGGUGAAAAGAACCCCGGGAGGGGAGUGAAAUAGAACCUGAAACCCUGCACUUACAAGCUGUGGAAGCACAUUUCUUGUGUGACCGCGUACUUUUUGUAGAACGGGCCAACGAGUUACGUUAAGUAGCAAGGUUAAGCACUUAAGGUGCGGAGCCGUAGCGAAAGCGAGUUUUAACUGAGCGUUCAGUUACUUGACGUAGACCCGAAACCGGGCGACCUACCCAUGAGCAGGAUGAAGCGAAAGUAAAAUUUCGUGGAGGUCCGAACCCACGAGCGUUGAAAAGCUCGGGGAUGACUUGUGGGUAGCGGUGAAAUUCCAAUCGAGCCCGGAGAUAGCUGGUUCUCCCCGAAAUAGCUUUAGGGCUAGCCUCAAGGUGAGAGAUACGGAGGUAGAGCACUGAAUGUCCUAGGGGGUAUUGCACCUACCGAAGACUAUCAAACUCCGAAUGCCGUCAUCUUAUACUUGGGAGUCAGACUGUGGGUGAUAAGAUUCAUAGUCGAAAGGGCAACAGCCCAGAUCGUCAGCUAAGGUCCCUAAAUGUAAGUUAAGUGGUAAAGGAUGUGGGAUUGCACAGACAACCAGGAUGUUGGCUUAGAAGCAGCCACUCAUUCAAAGAGUGCGUAAUAGCUCACUGGUCGAGUGAUCCUGCGCCGAAGAUUUCCGGGGCUAAAACUUACUACCGAAGCUACGGCAUCAGUAAUGAUGGGUAGGGGAGCUUCCCAUACGGGUUGAAGCAUGACCGUAAGGACAUGUGGACAGUAUGGGAGUGAGAAUGUUGGCAUGAGUAGCGAGAUGUGGGUGAGAAUCCCACAGGCCGUAAACCCAAGGUUUCCAGGGGAAGGUUCGUCCGCCCUGGGUUAGUCGGGACCUAAGCUGAGGCCGAAAGGCGUAGGUGAUGGACAACAGGUUGAUAUUCCUGUACUACCGAUAACCGUUUGAGAGAAGGGAUGACACAGUAGGAUAAGCUAAGCACACUGUUGGUUAUGUGUGCCCAAGCAUUGAGGCAGUCAAAGUAGGCAAAUCCGCUUUGAUAAUGCUGGGAUGUGAUGGGGAGCGAAAUUUAGUAGCGAAGUAGCUGAUUUCACACUGUCAAGAAAAGUCUCUAUCGAGGUUAAAGGUACCCGUACCGCAAACCGACACAGGUGGGUGAGGAGAGUAUCCUAAGGCCAGCGAGAGAACUGUUGUUAAGGAACUCGGCAAAAUGACCCCGUAACUUAGGGAUAAGGGGUGCCACCAUCAGGUGGCCGCAGAGAAUAGGCCCAAGCGACUGUUUACCAAAAACAUAGGUUUCUGCUAAGUCGCAAGACGAUGUAUAGGAGCUGACGCCUGCCCGGUGCUGGAAGGUUAAGGGGAUCUGUUAGAGCAAUCGAAGCAGUGAACUUAAGCCCCAGUAAACGGCGGCCGUAACUAUAACGGUCCUAAGGUAGCGAAAUUCCUUGUCGGGUAAGUUCCGACCCGCACGAAAGGCGUAACGAUUUGGGCACUGUCUCAACAACAGACUCGGUGAAAUUGUAAUUCCGGUGAAGAUGCCGGAUACCUGCGACAGGACGGAAAGACCCCAUGGAGCUU